UGUAUUCAUCACAGCAACAAUGUGGGCCCUCUUAGUUGACCAGGGAAGCAAACAGUGAGGAAGGCCAGAAUACCAAUGAGUAGCUCAGGCCGCUGUCCCCAACCUCAUUUCCAGUGUAUUCACCAGAUAGCCUUAAAGGAGAUCAGCGAAGGAAACCAUACAAAUCGGGCAAAUAGUCCACAGGGAGAGUUAUUCACAAGCAGGAUCAACUUCUGUAGACAAGGAUGCUCAGAGUCUUAUCCAGCUUUGCCUCCAGCACUUCUGAGAGAUGGGCAUUCACAAUUUCUCCAAGCAACCUGUUCCAGUGCCUCACCACACUUUUGUACUGGAGGGUGCUACAAGGUCCCACCAGAGCUUUCUCUUCUCCAGGCUGAACAACUCCAGCUGCCUCAGACUGUCUUCACAGGAGAAGCGUCCCAGCCCUCUGAUCAAUUCUGGACUUCUCUGGACUGGCUCCAACAGGUCCACAUCUCACAGUCAUUGGAAUCAACAUUUCUGCACUAGGAUGGAUUUUUCCCAAAAAUUUAGAAUAAACCAAACUAGACAUGUAUUUUCUUCCUGGCAGAUCAGUUGUGGUAACUUAACCUCUGUCUCUGGAUUUGUCAUGGUAAUAGCCUGAUUUCAAAGGUCCAGGAUGCGCACUUGUCUCUACACUUGUGGUUUUAGAUGGUAAGCCAUGAUAUGGGUAAGAGACAAGAAGUUUUUGAUAUCUACAAGCUAUAUCUUCUUUUUCCCACAACAGGAUGCUUAAUUGGACUAAAUGUCUAAUACUUCCCUGAGUGCAUGUAUGCAGUCACGCUUCUUUACCUUUUCACUUGAUACUAAGUGUAGUAGGGUUUGUGUUUUUCAAAAAUGUCAACCUGCAGCCCAUAGCUGCAUAAAAUGGACAUAAAAUAUAAAAUAUAAGAGACAAGAUAAAAAUAAAAUAAAGAGAGUUUAAAUUAUUAUUUUAUUUGUUAAUGGUACAAAAAAUAUUCUCUUCUCACACUCCAACAGACUUUCUUGUGCAUACCUUGCAGGACACACACCACUCUAAAGACCAUUGUCCUAAAGUUCUGUCAUUGCUGUUUCUUUUUCUAAGCAAAGUAUUGUGUAACUUACAAGUCACUAUCUAUGAAAAUGUUUUUCUGCAUUAUGCUUUAAAUGUUGGGGAGCAUUCAGCAGUUUAAAGUGUACAACAGUAAUGAAGCAAAGCCUGCCAGCUCUGCCAUCAAGGUUUCCAUAGCUAAGAGUAAAUGUCCUACUUGUUACCCAGGAAAACAAUGCAGAGCUGUUUUUUUCUGCAAAUUGUCACCAUGUCAAAUUGUCACAUCACAAUUGCAUGUGAAAAUGUAUAUGUUACUGUAGACACUACAUAUGACACAAAAUAUCUGUAAGUCAGAGAAAGAAACCAGAAAAGGACUAAAAAUAAUCUAAUAGAUAAAAGUAUGAAACUUGUGAAUAAAUUCCUAGUUCCACUGAAGUUCAAAGUUCUCACACACUCCCACAAGGUUAAAAUUCUGCAUCAAAUACAGACUGCAAGUAGCAGACUCUAAGUCAAAGACAGGCAAGAUUUCAAACAGGAACACUGCAAGUUAGAUCAAUGCAUAUCCUUAGAAAGAUAAAAUAUAUUUUUUUGCUGGAAUGACACUGGUUUGGUGGAAUGCAUUAGGUAACAAGCUGUCAGAAAGGAACUCCAUCUUUUGAAAUUGAAUGAAAAUGUACUUAAAUGUAAUUCAGCUGGCAAACAGAAACUGCCAGUUUAAUUAAUUUUUAAAUACAUCUCAGCUGCAGGAAGGCAAUCCAAAUUUUGAGAAUUCCAUUUAGAAUUCAGUUAAUAGCUAUGAUAAAGAGCAUAGAAGAAGCAAAAGCUAUGCCAGUUCUCUUCAAAAAGGUAUAAUGUGAAGGUUGAAGUGGAAUGGUAGAUGUUCUGCUUUUGGCAAGCCUUUUUUUGAAGAGUUUAAAGCACAUAAUUAGAGUAGCAAAACACAACCUUUAACAUAUAGCGAUUCCAGGGACCAGGGAUUGUUUGAACGCUUAGAGAUAACUCCUGAUUCAGCAAAAUACUUAUAAAAAUGUUGAAACUGGCAGGAAUUUACAUUUUUCAGUGCUACUGAUCCAAAUCACACAGUCUCAUGUCUGCUUGAUAUUACAGAUCGGUACUCUUCCCUGAUUCAAUGGUAUUUCUGCCUUAGGGAAGCAUAUAAAUCUGUCAAAUGUCUAAAUCAGAUCAACACAUUAAAUGAUUAUAUAGACAGAAUAGGGAGUCACUUGAGCAUGAGUCUUGAAACAAAGGUAGGUGAGAAUACCUAAAAUAUGUAUGUGCAAACAGUGGCUGGGAUGAAGCACAACACUGUGGUACUCCAGAGAGGCAUCUUUAGUUUUCCCUUUCAGACGCCUGUGAUUAGCAAUCAGUUAUUAGGAAAAAUUAGAGCAAGAAACCUUGGAGUAUGUAAUACUUAAUCCUCAGAAGUUCCAGGAUGAAAUGCCUUUGAGCUUGACUGAUAGAAUUUUGUAAUCUUCCUAUAGAGUUCGCCCUCUCCUAGUCAUCAUUUCAGUUCAGGUUAGUGAUCCUAAAAUUAAAUCAGAUCUCAGCUGCUGCCCAGGCUGCAAUGAGGUACAGAGAAUUGCCAGAGAUGCUGCCAAUACCCUCGCAUGCACCUGAAAACAUGCACCUGAAAAAUUGAUGUGUAAACUUACACUAACCACUUCUGUCUUAAUAGAAGUGAUUGAUCCAAGCACUGCAGUACCAGUGAAAUACAUUGAAUAGAUCUAAAUAUCAAAUGAGCUCAGUUUAUGAUUACAUAAUCUCUAGGGACAACUUGUUUAUUUGGGGCUGGGAAGGGGGAUUUUUUGUUGAUGAUGUAAAAAGUAUAUUUGGUAUUAGUGCGUGUGGGACCGGGAAAAUACAAGUUAGGAAAUAUUUAAAGAGGAACCUAGUCAAUUGAUUACAAAUUUCAGGAAGUCAAUUUCACAAAGACAGUAGAAACAGGAAGAAAUGUUUUCACAAUGUAGAAGAAUCAAUUCAUCAUCACUCUAAUGAAAAAAGUGUCCUGGCUGACUCGAGCUGCUAAAAUUCAUUGUUUAGCUGGGAAACUUCCAAAUGCUCCUCAUAUACAGAGAGUGGAAAUACAAAAAAAAAAAAAAAAGAAUGAACAAAUAAAAGCUGGUAGGAUAUUAAUCUCUUAUGCACGUAAGUCUGUGACCAUAAUAGAUUUAAGCUGGGGAGAACUUUGUCACUAAAUUAUUGGUUCCUGAACUUUUAAUACCCUGGUCAAGGGUUUAUGCUAUGUGCAUUUUACCGCUAGAGUUGAAAGAAGUACAAUAAAAAUUAUUAUCUGGAAUGAAUAUAAUCCACCAUCAAAGAAAGUAAUAAUUUAAAGAACAAUCCUUCCUUUAAAAGAAAACGAUCAAAUGACUCCAUGUAAGUUAUAGCAGUUAUAACUACAUAUGUUAUAUAUGCAAAUAUUGGAGCUUGUUAGACAAAAACAGAAGACCAUCUCUGCUCCAGAAAUCCUUUCAGCUCAUAUUCAGUAAGUUUCUCAUGCCUGUAAGGCAUAGUGGUCAAACACUGUAGAAUCUGGCUAUGUGCUAUGACCAAGGGACAGCCAGCUCAUGUUUGUGUACUCGCCAGGACCAUCUCCCCUCAAGAAGACAGGCUGGUUUUGACAAAUGGUGAGAAAAUGGACAGAAAUAUGUCUGACUGAUUUUUAGCUACACAUUUAUCAUUCUGAGAUGUGGGGUCGCAGUUGAUAUGAAGUAAAACACACAUUUUUGUAACUGAUUUCUAUUUAUGGGCUGGGAAUUUCAUGGACAUCAGAGGAAGAAAUUAGGCUACUUCUGAGUACAGCUAAAAGUGUUUCUCCCAUGGAAAGAAAGCAGUAGCAGAACAAGUAGGCAUUUUAUUGUAUUUAAUUACUACUUAACUACUAGUUAUUAGUUUCUAUUAAUAAUUUAAACAGUUUUGGAAUCAUCAGCCACUGACAGCACCCAGUUCCAUAACCACAUUCAGUAUAAACUGAGGCAGGUAGCUCACACUGUUCCAGUCAAUUAAAUUGGAAUGCUCUUGGGCACCAAUAUGAGAUGUGUGAAAAGGCCCACAGCUGUGCUGACAAACUUUUAGCACCCAGAAGGUGGUAGCUGAUACUGAAUGUCUUUUAGUAACACCAUGGAGGACGGGAAUAUACUGGAAGUGCAAAUGACUAAAGAUUAAGGCAUCCCAGGAGAAGUACAUCUGAAGAAAAGUAGAUUCUAGUGCAUGGGCCCAUUUUAGCUACUGUUUAGCAAUUGGGAAGCAGUGGUAAGUCAGGUCUAUUGGUACAUUGCAGCACCUUGAGUGCUGUUUCCAGUUUUGACCCCUCAGUUUGAGAAGGACAUUGAGAUGCUUGAGCGCAUCCAGAGGAGAGCGACAAGGCUGGUUGAGGGGCUUGGAACACAAACCCUGUGAGGGACAGCUGAGGGAGCUGGGGUUGUUUAGCCUGGAGAAAAGGAGACUCAGAGAUGACCUUAUCCCUCUCUACAACUCCCUGAAAGGUGGCUGUAGUCAGGUGGGGGUUGAUCUCUUUCACCAGGCAGGAAAUGACAGAACCAGAAGACAGGGUCUCAGUCUGCACCAAGGGAAAGAUAGGCUGGAUAUUGGUAAAAGUUUUCUUAUGCAAAGAGUGAUAAAGUAAUGGAAUGGUCUGUCUGAGGAGGUGGUGGAGUCACCAUCCCAGGACGUGGCACUCAGUGCCAUGACUUAGCUGAGGUGGUAGGGAAGGGAUUGGACUCGAUGAUCUUGAAGGUCUCUUCCAACCUGUGAAUUCUGUGAAUUUGUAACUUGAUGCCCAAUGUGUCAUAUACACACCACUGUAUAAAAACCUGAAUACUUACAGUUGCACACUUCAAGAAUUUUCUGUGAUUAACUGCCCCGACUACGGGACAAGAGGGAUUGCUCCUUUAGCUAAACAGAUACAAAUUCAUAUAGCUCUGAAUAUUGUUAAUCUACUUCACUUCUACACCCUGAUUUUCUUCUGUUCAUUUUGUUUCACAUUGGCACCAAACUAGGCUGCAGCCUUGGCACAGGACUGCUGCAAUGGGAUAUUGCUGAAAUUAGCAAUAUCCAUAAAAUGAGAAAAUGUGCAAUGGCUGGUUAUGCAGAAUCCUCAGCUAGUGAAAGUGCAGGUUUAGCAGUAGUGAGAAAAAAACUUUUCCCAGAAACUGAGAACAUUACAUCCUGAAGGAAUUUCUGAUCAUUUAGCCUGGACGUUUACAUGGCACAGGCUGUUCUGUUUCUGCCAAUUACGCCAACACUUAUCCAAAUAAUUUUGAUUUGUAGGCAUUUGAUCAUUUUAAAAAACCCCAAAACUUUGAUGGUUUGUUUCCAUGUUUCAUCCUUUUUCUUUUACAGCUCAUGCUCAACAUCCAUUUUUAAUUAGUCUCAUUUGAGCUUCAAGUUCUAAUUUACAGCAAUUACACUUCUAAUUUUUUUUUUAUAGACAGAUAAAGAAUGCUUAGCUAUAGACUAUUAUUCCACAGCAGGCAAACUGAAGGAUUAUAGUAACUUUUAGAAUAAUCAUCUCUCCCAGUUUUGAAAAGCCUUUUAAGAUUUUGUGGUACAUUAUUUCACUAUACAUCUCCAUAAAGUGUCAUAUUCACCAGCAGGUUUGGAGGUAUUUCUACAUCUGUUCAUAAGCAUUCACCUGCUUCCCCUGGUUUAUUGUUGGAUCAUUAAAGUACUCACCCAUUUUAAAAAUAAAAACAUUCAACCUUUCUUUUCAAGGAAAAUCUGUAUUUAGUGUAUUUUUCAACAUCACAAUGCCUCUUCCAGUCUGUGAAUAUAUAAUCACUCAUAAAUUAUAUUCACACUAGCUGGAUAUGAUAAAUGUAUAUUUUGUAUACAGAUUUCUUUGAAUAUUAAAAAAAAAAAAAAAACAACUAAUGUUCAGUAACUAAUUUGCUUUGCAGAGGUUUUGGGGCUAAUUGCAGAGUACUGGUCAUUUCAGGCAAUUUGAAAACUGGUAGACUCAGGGCAAAGGCAAGGGUCUGGCUGCAGUCAAUCAGUAUCCUUCUUCUUUCCAUGGUAAUUUUAGUCGUUGUCAUACAUGUGUCUGCACCUUGCAAUAAUAAAUCUUGCACCUUGCACAAUAAACCUUGUUUUGACCAGAAGA